GCGCGGUGGAAAAAAUCCGCUGGGAACUCGCGCAACGCCCACCGGCGGCGGAGGCUGCGCCCGGUUCAAAGAUGGCGGCGCCCUGAGUGGCACCUGAGGGAUGCCUCCCAGACCCAAGCUGGCGCCAGUAGCAACUCGGGCUGGUUUGACAGUCCUGCAAUCUGCCGUCAGGAACCGGGACUGGUGUUGCUUGUUGUAUGCUACACUAAGCCCAAUGAGAAGAAGGGGCACUGUGCUCUUUUUGCAACAAUAGCCUUGGAAGCUGUUCCACCUCUCGGCCUGGCUGGACUUCUCCUGAGUUUCAGAGGGUCUCCCACAGAACACCUUCACCUGUUUUACAACCACUGUGACAGACAGACUGAGAUGUAAGAAGCCUCUCCAUCAAGGACUGAGACAUGAAACCCCUAUGUGAGAAGGCUCCUUUCUGCUCCUUACAAGGACUGGGACUGAAAUCCCCAACCCAGAGGAGGUGUGUGUGGGAGGCAAGCUGACCAAACCAAGAUGUUUGCCUGCAGCUUGUGACCACUGGACCAAGAAAACAAUGGCUCUCAUUUACUGCUGAGAACAUGGACUAACUGUUACAUCUAUUCCUUAUUGUAUCUGUCUCCUCCCCCCCCUCACAAUUUUCAAUAGAAUUAUCAUAAUAAAAAUCUCUGAGUUAGCUGGAGAUUUUGAGAUCUCCCCAACGUAACAGGCGGAUCCUCGACUGGACUUGACCAAAGGACUUCGUCUCUACAUUUGCAGGUGUUUCUGGGUAUCUAAAGCAACAGAGGCAUGGAAGAUUCUGUGAAGAAAGCAGCAUGGAAUACAGGGAGUAUUUAAGUUCAUGAUUUUGGGUUUUGUGUUUAGGGUUGGUAAACCUCAUUUGUAAUUUCUGGUGUUGUUCUUGGUGGUUUUUUGGUGGGUUUUGUUUUUUUGGUGGGUUUUGCUGUUUGUUUUUUUGGUUGUUGUUUUUUUGGGUUUUUUUGGUGUGGAGUUUUUUUAGUUUUUUUUUUGGGGGGGGGAGUUGGUUUUGUUUGGGGGGUUGGGUUUUUUUUUGUAUUUUGAGGAGUGCAACUCCCUUAAAUUCCAGCUUGUGUCAGGCAUAACACUUGUUUCAGCAGAUUUGUCAUGUCACAAAGGGGAUCUAACCAGUGUCAAGGAUGGUCCUUGAGACUGAGGCUUCAGAUGAAUUGAGGAUUGUGGCUAGGAGGGGAGGGUGAGCAGGUAUCCAGUUAGGAGUUAUUGGAGGAGGGGGGGGUUUGAGGGCACAUUGCAUCCAUGGCAGAGGGUCAGGGUUAGGAGGUGCUGGGCAUUCCUAGGAGCACGGUGAGUAGCAGACUGGUGGGGUUUUGGGUGAUGUGGUGCCAAGAUCAGGCACUGAUGUUUGGUUCUCUUUAAUACAGCUGUCUGAGAGACACCAGCCAAGUGCCAGCAGGACCUUCCCAGCUGGCGAGGUGGCCUUUCUUUGCACCUGACAGGGAUCAGCAUCCCCUGAUGUCUGAGAGAUAAGUAGAGGGCUAAGGCCCACAGAGGGGAUGAAAGCAGGGUGCUGGUUUGGGAAUUACUAGGAGGGGUUUUGGAGUCCACUUUGGAGGUGGGGCGUGUUCAUGAAGUGGCCCUUUAGGCCCCAUAAAAGCAAAGUCUCACUUUUGAUCACAGAGCUGAGGUGUGCAGCAGGGCAGAACAGUCACGGUGUGUCUCGUGUCACUUGUCUAUUGUGCAUUAUGUGUUGUUUGGGUGUGUCAUGUCUUUUACCUUAGCCCUUUGAGGAGCCUGUCAGAAACCCUGGCAUCAUUGUUAGCAUCUGUGAUCUCUGCAUUCCUUGGCCUGGCACCCAGGCCAUAGAACUUUUGACUCGGGAGUUCAGACAGGCAUCAGACUCUCUUCUGUCUUUAGAAGCAUCCAGUCAGAUGUCUUUUCAGGUCUUGUUCUGAGUUAUAUGGACAGCUAUGCCCCACCUGGAUCCAUUAUGGUGGAUUGGGGCUUGUAAUAAUAUGAGGUCAGUUAGAGGAUUCUGACCAUAGGACUCCUAGGCAUCCAUCUUUCCUGUUCUUGGAAUAAAUCAUCCAGUUUAGCAUCUUCUUCCUCCAGGGUUCUCUGAGCCUCAUCAGCUCACCAUCGGUCUUACCUCGGUCAUCUUUUUGCAUUCUCUCAGUCCUUGCAGCCAUUUUCCUUGCCAAGAGAUUUCUGUUCCUGUUGUGUCCUCGUUGUCUGUCACGUCCUAUCCCGUGUCAUGGGUGUCAGCCCACAUUUGUGCCGGAGCUGCUCUGCCCUGCCGCAUAGCCUGGUGCAAUAGGAGAAGUCCUGGGGACUUGAAGUUCGUAUUGUGAGGCGUAGGUGGACUCUAGAUGGGAUUUGUAAAUGGACGCAAGAUAUCUGGAGCCCUUAAGUUAUCCUGCAGCCCUUUGACUCUUGUCCUAACUUUCUUUCAGAUGCAGAAGGAUAAAAUCCAGGGCAGAGUACCCCAUCCCAGGAAGUCAAGGGCCAGAGCAGCAGUCAAGACCGAGUGGGCAAGGUCGUCCACUUGCAGUCUAUCCUAGCUGAGCACACCCAUGCCAGGUGCUGUCCUAGGCAUGCCCAGGAACAGAGAAGGGCAGGCGAGUUGACGUUUAGGCAGGCUGACUCAUAGGUCCCCUGAGGAGGCUUGUAGCCAAAGCUUGGAAAUGGCAGCACCGAAGCACACAUGGAGCACAUCUCAACGUCCACAUCCAGCCGAGGAUGGAUUUUGUCCACUCCUCUUCCUAAAGCUGAGUGUCGGGGCCAGUGGUUGGGAGAAGGGGAAAAACCUUUACUGUCACAGGAGGCAAUCUGAUGUCAGCUUAGUGGAGAGGUCUGUAGUGGGACAGGCUCUCUGGAAGUAAAGGGAGAGGGUUUCUCCUUGGCCUCACCAGAGCCUUUGCCAGGCAGGGCAUUCCGACCCAUCUCCACAUUCUCGUGAACUUUGCGUCGUCAGCCUUCCUCGACUCGACACCGUCAUGGAUCUUUACCCCGAGGAGCUCGCCUUCAGGUCUGGAGCUAUAGCCACGGUCACCUGGCAGUCUGCUUCCUUCUCUAGGCUUGCUCCUUCCCUCUCGAGCAUCCUCUUAACUGCUUUGGCACUAACUUCUUUUAACGAGUUAUAUUUCAUCAUCACAUGCUAUUGUCAUAGGGCUUCCUUUGCUUUGGCAUCAUCAGCCUCUGGCUCAUCUGCUAGGAAUCUCAGGUAACUAAGGGGAAAGUGCCAGGCAGUUGCCAUUUGUCUCUGUUAUGUUAUCUGUGUCUAUGUUAUGUCGUCCGUGUCUGUGGUAUGUAGUGUGUGUCCAUUGUCUUCCACCUCAUAGGCCUUUGUAACGUCUCGAUGCUUGAUCGGCACUCUUCUGUGCCAUAUAGGCCAUGUUCUACUCACAUUCCUUUCUGGAUAUCCCUUAUUCUGGCAUCUUUAAAUUUUUACUCUUUGAGACAGGAAUGUCUCACAGGGACAAGAUGUUCUCAUCCAUCUUCCCUCUCACUACCAGCUUCGGUAGUGCCUUUUUUCCAUUUUCUUGGACUUCUAGAGGGAGCGUCUUGCACCCGUCUCACGUGACUGCAGUAGUUCUAUAGAUUCCAUCUUCUCAAAGGGUAUAGGGCUCAAGAAUUCAUCUUCCAGAGAGUUAUCUCCAGUCCUGGCUUGUAUUGUAUGUACCUAUAUUGUGUGUACCUAUAUUGACCUAUAUUGUAUGUACUCACAUUGUAUGUAUCUAUGCUGGCUUGUACUGUAUGUACUUAUAUUGUAUGUACCUAUGUUGGCUUAUACUGUGUGUACUUACACUGUAUGUAAGCGCGUCGCCCUAUAUUAUGUGUAUUUACACUCUGUAUACUUGCACUGUAUGCAUCAGCUUAUAUUGUGUGUACAUACAUUGUACCACUUAUGGUUGGGCUGCCCUGCCCUGGUACGUAGUCACAGUUAGGUAGAACAGUUAUAGAAAUUUUACUGUUCAACUGUCUUCUGUGGGAUUUUGGGUAGAAAACUUAUCAGUCCAGAUUGAAGACAAGUCCUAGCUGUCAGAUACCCGCUCAUUGAUCCCUUCCUGUCAUCUCACAGGUCCCCGAGGCUACCGAUUUCCCUGGAAUCUACCAUUUGAAGUCAAGGAGCAGCAGCCAGAAGAUGCGUCAAAGCACGUUCCUCAGAGUCGUGAGUAAGGGCCGCAGCGAGCGUGUAAGU